rnacentral:rRNA from 1 species
UCGACGGACUCAUAUUGAAACCUAGUGAUUUAUGAGUUAGUGGCGGACGGGUGAGUAACGCGUGGAAAACCUGCCGUAUACCGGGGGAUAACACUUAGAAAUAGGUGCUAAUACCGCAUAAGCGCACAGCUUCGCAUGAAGCAGUGUGAAAAACUCCGGUGGUAUAUGAUGGUUCCGCGUCUGAUUAGCUAGUUGGCGGGGUAACGGCCCACCAAGGCAGCGAUCAGUAGCCGGCCUGAGAGGGUGAACGGCCACAUUGGGACUGAGACACGGCCCAAACUCCUACGGGAGGCAGCAGUGGGGAAUAUUGCACAAUGGGGGAAACCCUGAUGCAGCGACGCCGCGUGAGUGAAGAAGUAUUUCGGUACGUAAAGCUCUAUCAGCAGGGAAGAAAAUGACGGUACCUGACUAAGAAGCCCCGGCUAACUACGUGCCAGCAGCCGCGGUAAUACGUAGGGGGCAAGCGUUAUCCGGAUUUACUGGGUGUAAAGGGAGCGCAGACGGCAGCGCAAGUCUGGAGUGAAAUGCCGGGGCCCAACCCCGGAACUGCUUUGGAAACUGUGCAGCUUGAGUGCGGGAGAGGUAAGUGGAAUUCCUAGUGUAGCGGUGAAAUGCGUAGAUAUUAGGAGGAACACCAGUGGCGAAGGCGGCUUACUGGACCGUAACUGACGUUGAGGCUCGAAAGCGUGGGGAGCAAACAGGAUUAGAUACCCUGGUAGUCCACGCCGUAAACGAUGAUUACUAGGUGUCGGGGGACCAAGGUCCUCCGGUGCCGGCGCAAACGCAUUAAGUAAUCCACCUGGGGAGUACGUUCGCAAGAAUGAAACUCAAAGGAAUUGACGGG